AGCGAACGUUGGCGGUGUGGAUUAGGCAUGCAAGUCGUGCAAGAAAGCCUUCGGGCGAGUAAAGCGGCGGACGGGUGAGUAACACGUAACCAACCUGCCCUCGAGACCGGAAUAACCACUGGAAACGGUGGGUAAUGCCGGAUGGACCAACAAGUCGGCAUCGACAUGUUGGUAAAUGGCUUCGGCUGCUCGGGGAGGGGGUUGCGGGCUAUUAGCUAGUUGGUGGGGUAACGGCCUACCAAGGCAAUGAUGGCUAGCGGGUCUGAGAGGAUGAUCCGUCACACUGGGACUGAGAUACUGCCCAGACUCCUACGGGAGGCUGCAGUCGAGAAUCUUCCACAAUGGGCGAAAGCCUGAUGGAGCGACACCGCGUGCAGGAUGAAGGCCUUAGGGUUGUAAACUGCUGUCACGUUCUAGGAAUAAGGCUUCGGCCUAUGACCAAAACGAGAGGAAGCACCGGCUAACUCCGUGCCAGCAGCCGCGGUAAGACGGAGGGCGCAAACGUUGCUCGGAAUCACUGGGCAUAAAGCGCACGUAGGCGGUUGCCUAAGUCGGAUGUGAAAUCCCGUGGCUCAACCACGGAACUGCAUCCGAUACUG
rnacentral:rRNA from 1 species